rnacentral:rRNA from 1 species
ACAGGUGGUGCAUGGUUGUCGUCAGCUCGUGUCGUGAGAUGUUGGGUUAAGUCCCGCAACGAGCGCAACCCUUGAUCUUAGUUGCCAGCAUUCAGUUGGGCACUCUAAGGUGACUGCCGGUGACAAACCGGAGGAAGGUGGGGAUGACGUCAAAUCAUCAUGCCCCUUAUGACCUGGGCUACACACGUGCUACAAUGGACAGAACAAAGGGCAGCGAAACCGCGAGGUUAAGCCAAUCCCACAAAUCUGUUCUCAGUUCGGAUCGCAGUCUGCAACUCGACUGCGUGAAGCUGGAAUCGCUAGUAAUCGCGGAUCAGCAUGCCGCGGUGAAUACGUUCCCGGGCCUUGUACAACCCGCCCGU